GGUUUCGGGCCUAUUCUGGGAG
rnacentral:miRNA from 1 species